rnacentral:rRNA from 1 species
AGCAGUAGCCGCGGGAAUACGUAGGUGGCAAGCGUUGUCCGGAAUUAUAGGGCGUAAAGGGCUCGCAGGCGGUUUCUUAAGUCUGAUGUGAAAGCCCCCGGCUCAACCGGGGAGGGUCAUUGGAAACUGGGAAACUUGAGUGCAGAAGAGGAGAGUGGAAUUCCACGUGUAGCGGUGAAAUGCGUAGAGAUGUGGAGGAACACCAGUGGCGAAGGCGACUCUCUGGUCUGUAACUGACGCUGAGGAGCGAAAGCGUGGGGAGCGAACAGGAUUAGAUACCCCAGUAGUCCCUGUCUCUUAUAC